GAUGAACGCUGGCGGCGUGCCUAAUACAUGCAAGUCGAGCGAAUGGAUUAAGAGCUUGCUCUUAUGAAGUUAGCGGCGGACGGGUGAGUAACACGUGGGUAACCUGCCCAUAUGACUGGGAUAACUCCGGGAAACCGGGGCUAAUACCGGAUAACAUUUUGAACCGCAUGGUUCGAAAUUGAAAGGCGGCUUCGGCUGUCACUUAUGGAUGGACCCGCGUCGCAUUAGCUAGUUGGGGAGGUAACGGCUCACCAAGGCAACGAUGCGUAGCCGACCUGAGAGGGUGAUCGGCCACACUGGGACUGAGACACGGCCCAGACUCCUACGGGAGGCAGCAGUAGGGAAUCUUCCGCAAUGGACGAAAGUCUGACGGAGCAACGCCGCGUGAGUGAUGAAGGCUUUCGGGUCGUAAAACUCUGUUGUUAGGGAAGAACGAGUGCUAGUUGAAUAAGCUGGCACCUUGACGGUACCUAACCAGAAAGCCACGGCUAACUACGUGCCAGCCGCCGCAGUAA
rnacentral:rRNA from 1 species